rnacentral:lncRNA from 1 species
ACGUUUGUUCUAUAUGCAAAUAGUAUCUUUUUAAAAAUAAUUGCAUUUGAAAUAAUUAGAUUUAACACAGAUGAAAACAUGAAAAGCUAUUCCAUUGUUAGCAACUCUUGAAUUACUAGAGAUUAGUGUCAACUUAUUUUAUGAAAUAAAUUUCUGUUUGAAUCUAUGACAGUCAUUCUCUAUAGCCUUCUUUAAUUUCUCUCCAAAACUAGAAAGUGCCCUGAGAAGAAUUAUCUCUCCUUCUCUCCAGGUCUGACUCCCUGUGAACUUCUCCUGUCUUCACAGCUAUUAUGCACUUGAUUUCAUUUUCAUAGCUAUCUGAUCCUGCUGUUGGUUUCUCAGCUGACUUACAGCUGGGGUUGAACAAUGCAACUGCCCGAUGCUGUUAGCAUUGCAUUUUCAUACAAUGUCUCUCUGUUGGUUUGCCUCAGGUGUUGUGGGAAAUCUUCUAAAAGGAAACUUAUCAGGUGUUCCCUAACUGUAGCUACCAACCAACUCUGAUAACAACACAUCUUUCUAAGUACUAAAUUUCUAGAUUUUUAAUUUAUUGGGACUGUCAUUGCUGCAAUAAUAUUCCAAUAAAGUACAAGAAUUUGGAAACUACAGUCUUGUAGUUUCUGUGCCUCUUUUGUGAACACUUCAAGUAGUCUUUUGAUACUUUUUUCGCUUUACAUUUCCUAACUGAAAGUCAAUUAGCCUUACUCAGUGAAGAACUUUAAGAUUAUAAUUUUGUAAAAUAACAAUCACUCUGAUGAGCAUAACUAUGACCAAGUCAUAUCAAAAUAAUAAGGCUCAAUUUGGGCAAAGAAAUAAAUUAUUUUCCCAAAUCAUGAGAAAUUUCUGAUGAAUAGUUCAUGAGAAACAGAAGCAAUGAACUUAUGCAUAAAGAUUCUAUUUGAAUUAAUCUCAACUACAUAAAUGUUCCUUACUAAAUCUAACUUUUGAUAAUGGACAAGAAAGUAGGAAGCAAGAGAAAUGGCUUCUAUAGACCUAACUGGAGACUUACCAAAGACAAACCAAUGGAGAGAAUGAUGGAAAGUCACAUUGUGUGGGAAGUAUGCUCUGUGCGAUGGUACCCUCCAUUUACACCACCAGCCAAGCUCUCCUUGAUCACACAACAGGAAAGCUCACAGCCAGAUUAAGAUGCUGAAAUCACGGGGUUUAAUCAAUUAAAACAUACAACAAGCAGCAAGGGGAUGCAGACCACACAUAUGUCCCGUUUCUCUUGGGCUUCACCUUCCUGUGGAUGCUGUGAUUACUCGGCCAGAGAUGGGCUCUGAGCCAGUGACCCCAGUAAUGGGAGAUUUCAGGGACCCAGACACACACUUGCUUUGUGGGAGGGACACAAGGCACUACAGCCAUGGGCCAGUUAGCCUGAUGAGCAGCUGUGGAAUGAAUAUCACUGAUGAGCAGCCAAUUUUAGGGCCUCGUGAAUAUUGGGGGCCUAAUAAAAAUCUUCUGUAUAUUUUGUA